AUUGAACGCUGGCGGCAUGCCUUACACAUGCAAGUCGAACGGUAACGGGCCUUCGGGUGCCGACGAGUGGCGAACGGGUGAGUAAUGUAUCGGAACGUACCUUUCAGUGGGGGAUAACGUAGCGAAAGUUACGCUAAUACCGCAUAUUCUGUGCGCAGGAAAGCAGGGGAUCGCAAGACCUUUCGCUGAUUGAGCGGCCGAUAUCAGAUUAGCUAGUUGGUGAGGUAAAGGCUCACCAAGGCGACGAUCUGUAGCGGGUCUGAGAGGAUGAUCCGCCACACUGGAACUGAGACACGGUCCAGACUCCUACGGGAGGCAGCAGUGGGGAAUUUUGGACAAUGGGGGCAACCCUGAUCCAGCCAUGCCGCGUGAGUGAAGAAGGCCUUCGGGUUGUAAAGCUCUUUCGGCCGGGAAGAAAUCGUAUGGGUUAAUACCCUGUGCGGAUGACGGUACCGGCAUAAGAAGCACCGGCUAACUACGUGCCAGCAGCCGCCGUAACAC
rnacentral:rRNA from 1 species